GUUAAGUCAGAUGUGAAAUCCCCGGGCUCAACCUGGGAACUGCAUCUGAUACUGGCAAGCUUGAGUCUCGUAGAGGGGGGUAGAAUUCCAGGUGUAGCGGUGAAAUGCGUAGAGAUCUGGAGGAAUACCGGUGGCGAAGGCGGCCCCCUGGACGAAGACUGACGCUCAGGUGCGAAAGCGUGGGGAGCAAACAGGAUUAGAUACCCUGGUAGUCCACGCCGUAAACGAUGUCGACUUGGAGGUUGUGCCCUUGAG
rnacentral:rRNA from 1 species